CUACGGGGUGCUCCAGUGGGGAAUCUUAGACAAUGGGGGAAACCCUGAUCUAGCCAUACCGCGUGAGUGAUGAAGGCCUUAGGGUCGUAAAGCUCUUUCGCCAGGGAUGAUAAUGACAGUACCUGGUAAAGAAACCCCGGCUAACUCCGUGCCAGCAGCCGCGGUAAUACGGAGGGGGUUAGCGUUGUUCGGAAUUACUGGGCGUAAAGCGCACGUAGGCGGACUGGAAAGUUAGAGGUGAAAUCCCGGGGCUCAACCCCGGAACUGCCUUUAAAACUCCCAGUCUGGAGUGCGAGAGAGGUGAGUGGAAUUCCGAGUGUAGAGGUGAAAUUCGUAGAUAUUCGGAGGAACACCAGUGGCGAAGGCGGCUCACUGGCUCGAUACUGACGCUGAGGUGCGAAAGCGUGGGGAGCAAACAGGAUUAGAUACCCGUGUAGUC
rnacentral:rRNA from 1 species